rnacentral:rRNA from 1 species
GACGUAGGGCGCGAGCGUUGUCCGGAUUUAUUGGGCGUAAAGAGCUCGUAGGCGGCUUGUCGCGUCGACUGUGAAAUCCCGCGGCUCAACUGCGGGUCUGCAGUCGAUACGGGCAGGCUAGAGUUCGGUAGGGGAGACUGGAAUUCCUGGUGUAGCGGUGAAAUGACGCAGAUAUCAGGAGGAACACCGAUGGCGAAGGCAGGUCUCUGGGCCGAUACUGACGCUGAGGUGCGAAAGCGUGGGGAGCAAACAGG